rnacentral:rRNA from 1 species
UACGGAAGGCAGCAGUGGGGAAUAUUGCACAAUGGGCGCAAGCCUGAUGCAGCCAUGCCGCGUGUAUGAAGAAGGCCUUCGGGUUGUAAAGUACUUUCAGUCGUGAGGAAGGUGUUAAGGUUAAUAACCUUAGCAAUUGACGUUAGCGACAGAAGAAGCACCGGCUAACUCCGUGCCAGCAGCCGCGGUAAUACGGAGGGUGCGAGCGUUAAUCGGAAUUACUGGGCGUAAAGGGCACGCAGGCGGUUAAUUAAGUUGGAUGUGAAAUCCCCGGGCUUAACCUGGGAAUGGCAUUCAAGACUGGUUAGCUAGAGUCUUGUAGAGGGGGUAGAAUUCCAUGUGUAGCGGUGAAAUGCGUAGAGAUGUGGAGGAAUACCGGUGGCGAAGGCGGCCCCUGGGACAAAGACUGACGCUCAUGUGCGAAAGCGUGGGGAGCAAACAGGAUUAGAUAC